UUCUUGGUUCAUUUAGAGGAAGUAAAAGUCGUAACAAGGUGCUUUACGGAAGCCUUGCACGCCGAGUCCGCCUUCGGGCGGGCGACAUUCGCCUGGAGCUGGAAGGUUCCCCCGGGGCCCCCGGGGGCAACGAUCAGCUGCUGCAUGCCCGAACCGUGCAGUCCACAGAUCAAACGCGAGUGGCCUGCGCCCGCAGGUUGAGAUAUGACCGUAGCAGCUCUGCGAAGAGUCUGACACCCUAGUUCCGUAGGUGAACCUGCGGAAGGAUCAUUAUUGAGAGGGGAGCCUCGCGCUCCAGGGGCCUCGUGCCCCGCACCUUUCCACCCUUUGUGUAUCUUCCACUGUUGCUUUGGCGGGCCCCGGGGCUUACCCCUCGGCGCCGGCCCCCUGCGAAGGGGGCUCGCGAGCGCCCGCCGGAGGCCCAUCCAAACCUGCUGUAUCAGUGCCGUCUGAGUAUACGAGUAAUCAAUCAAAACUUUCAACAACGGAUCUCUUGGUUCUGGCAUCGAUGAAGAACGCAGCGAAAUGCGAUAAGUAAUGUGAAUUGCAGAAUUCAGUGAAUCAUCGAAUCUUUGAACGCACAUUGCGCCCUUUGGUAUUCCGAAGGGCAUGCCUGUUCGAGCGUCAUUACACCCCUCAAGCUCUGCUUGGUAUUGGGCGUCCGCCCCCCGGGAUCGGGGGGCGCGCCCGAAAUUCAGUGGCGGUCCAGGUAGACUUCAAGCGCAGUAAACUUUGGUUCGCUUUGGAAGCCUUCUGCCUGCGGCCCCGCCAGCCAACGAUCACCCCCAAUCAUUGACCUCGGAUCAGGUAGGGAUACCCGCUGAACUUAAGCAUAUCAUAUAUAUAUAUAUAUAU
rnacentral:rRNA from 1 species